rnacentral:miRNA from 1 species
UGGGCCAUGCAUUUCUAGAACU